AAGAAUGUGGAUCCUAUUCGAGUUCCUAUAUCUCGUUUUGUGUGUAUGCAUAUUUAUAUAUAAUAUCAGAUAUAGUAGCUUUGUCUGAAAUCCAGCCAAACUCUGCCAAAAGAUUGUUGCACCUAAACAAGUGAAUGCAGUUCCUCCCUCUCUGGUAUCACUAGACAGUCUAACACCACCAAACAUCGAGUACGGUUUGCAACAAAACAGACCUCGUUGAAGAUCUUCUCCAAAGCAUAUUGUUGGCAUCAUAAACAUCUAAAAGGUCAUAGCUGCUGAGAUGGAGCUAUGUGAGGAGAAUGUUAAUGACUACGGGAAACAGUGAAGACCUGACGUUCCAGAAACUGCAUCAACAACUGGCUGUGAUGCUCAUAAUGCAGAACAACAACAUCAAUUCACACGGAGGUGCAACAUGGCUCUUGAUGCUUUACAUUGCUGUAAUGAUGUAUUUAGUAUACACUAAUGCUUCUUUAGUGAAAGACUGUUGAGAAUAUGGCAUUCCCUAAGGCGUUGCAAGUAAAUAGCAUUGAUGCAUUUAGGGGGAAACUAGACAAACA